AGCGGAAACGACAACAUUGACUCUUCGGAUGAUUUGUUGGGCGUCGAGCGGCGGACGGGUGAGUAAUGCCUAGGAAGUUGCCCGGUAGAGGGGGAUAACCAUUGGAAACGAUGGCUAAUACCGCAUGAUCUCUACGGAGCAAAGCAGGGGACCUUCGGGCCUUGUGCUACCGGAUACGCCUAGGUGGGAUUAGCUAGUUGGUGAGGUAAUGGCUCACCAAGGCGACGAUCCCUAGCUGGUCUGAGAGGAUGAUCAGCCACACUGGAACUGAGACACGGUCCAGACUCCUACGGGAGGCAGCAGUGGGGAAUAUUGCACAAUGGGCGAAAGCCUGAUGCAGCCAUGCCGCGUGUAUGAAGAAGCCUUCGGGUUGUAAAGUACUUUCAGUUGUGAGGAAGGGGGUAAGUUUAAUACGCUUAUCUCUUGACGUUAG
rnacentral:rRNA from 1 species